GAUGAACGCCGGCGGCGUGCCUAAUACAUGCAAGUCGAGCGAAUGGAUUAAGAGCUUGCUCUUAUGAAGUUAGCGGCGGACGGGUGAGUAACACGUGGGUAACCUGCCCAUAAGACUGGGAUAACUCCGGGAAACCGGGGCUAAUACCGGAUAACAUUUUGAACCGCAUGGUUCGAAAUUGAAAGGCGGCUUCGGCUGUCACUUAUGGAUGGACCCGCGUCGCAUUAGCUAGUUGGUGAGGUAACGGCUCACCAAGGCAACGAUGCGUAGCCGACCUGAGGGGGUGAUCGGCCACCCUGGGACUGAGACACGGCCCAGACUCCUACGGGAGGCAGCAGUAGGGAAUCUUCCGCAAUGGACGAAAGUCUGACGGAGCAACGCCGCGUGAGUGAUGAAGGCUUUCGGGUCGUAAAACUCUGUUGUUAGGGAAGAACAAGUGCUAGUUGAAUAAGCUGGCACCUUGACGGUACCUAACCAGAAAGCCACGGCUAACUACGUGCCAGCCGCCGCGGUAA
rnacentral:rRNA from 1 species